ACGGGAGGCAGCAGCUAAGAAUAUUCCGCAAUGGACGGAAGUCUGACGGAGCGACGCCGCGUUGGGGAUGAAGGUCGGAAGAUUGUAAAAUCCUUUUAUAACUGAGGAAUAAGCAGUGUGAGAGGAACGCACUGUGGUGACUGUAGGUUAUGAAUAAGCAACGGCUAAUUACGUGCCAGCAGCCGCGGUAACACGUAAGUUGCGAGCGUUGUUCGGAAUUAUUGGGCGUAAAGGGCAUGUAGGCGGUUUUGCAAGCUUGGUGUGAAAUCUCGGAGCUCAACUCCGAAAUUGCGUUGAGAACUGCAUGACUGGAGUCACUGAGGGGCAAUCAGAAUUCCUGGUGUAGGGGUGAAAUCUGUAGAUAUCAGGAAGAAUACCAAUGGCGAAGGCAGGUUACCAGCAGAUGACUGACGCUGAGGUGCGAAGGCGCGGGGAGCAAACAGGAUUAGAUACCCUGGUA
rnacentral:rRNA from 1 species